rnacentral:rRNA from 1 species
UACGUAGGGUGCGAGCGUUGUCCGGAAUUAUUGGGCGUAAAGGGCUCGUAGGCGGUCUGUCGCGUCGGGAGUGAAAACUCGGGGCUUAACUCCGAGCCUGCUUCUGAUACGGGCAGACUAGAGGUAUGCAGGGGAGAAUGGAAUUCCUGGUGUAGCGGUGAAAUGCGCAGAUAUCAGGAGGAACACCGGUGGCGAAGGCGGGUCUCUGGGCGAUGACUGAC